GCCAUGGACCAUGAUCAAGGUUCAUAGAUAGGGGUUAGGUUAUCUCAUAACUAUGUGGGCGGAAGCGAGAGGGAGGGGAAUGCCUACGUCACUCGUACGACAAAGUCAAGUUUGACAGUUGUUUGUGGUUAUAUUUCCGUAUAUUUUUGUGGAAUUUUCUUAUAAUAUCGUUUAUUUGUUUAAUAUUUGUUGAGUUUUUAAGCAUAUAAGGACAAUAUUACUAUAAUUACUUAUUUGGGUCCUAUACAAAGGCAGUAAUGACUUGUGAAGUGUGUUUUCGUAACCGUGUAAAAUGAGUGGUGCUAACAUUUGUAGCAUAGCUAUAUGUAACAGCAACUCCAAAAUUCCUGAACCAGAUGGAAACAAAAUAAUGUUUUUGGACAUUUCCCAAAUACCUUAACAUUAUCAAACAAUAAUGGAUAAUAAAAUGUUACAUAAGAAAAUAGGUAGCAAACAUUUCCUCGUGUCUGAAUAUGUUAAUAUUAUGUUACGUCUUUUUUAUAUUUUAACCUAAUAAUAAAUUAUUUAUAUUA
rnacentral:lncRNA from 1 species